rnacentral:rRNA from 1 species
GACGAACGCUGGCGGCGUGCUUAACACAUGCAAGUCGAGCGGAGCGGCGAACGGGUGAGUAACGCGUGAGUAACUGCCCCCCUCUCUGGGAUAACAGUCGGAAACGGCUGCUAAUACCGGCUAGUGGGGGAUGACUCGCGUCCUAUCAGCUUGUUGGCGGGGUAGUGGCCUACCAAGGCGACGACGGGUCGCCGGCCUGGGAGGGCGACCGGCCACAUUGGGCACAGAUCGGGCCCAAACUCCUACGGGGGGCAGCAGUGGAGAAUAUUGCACAAUGGGGGAAACGCUGAUGCAGCACCGCCGCGUGCGGGAUGACUGGCUUCGGGUUGGAAACCGCUUUAAGCCAUGCCGCGGUAGUGGCAGAAGAAGCACCGGCUAACUACGUGCCAGCAGCCGCGGUAAUAC